AAGGGUUUUUUCAAUGUAUGGUCUCAAAGAAAGGAUUUCUCAAUGAAGGGAUUUUUCAAUGAAGGCUUCAUCGGAUUCCAAAACAGUGAUAUUCAAAGGGUCAAAUAAUUUUAUUUUGGCCAUCGAAAGAAUUUAGAAUGAAAUUGAACCAAUAAACAAUCAAUAUAAACAAAAAUGGUAUUAACAAAAUAAUGAAAAGAUGUGACUAUGCAUGCUAUCGAAAGAAAACAACAUAGGAGCUUGAUAAUGCAAAAAUGCUUUAGUCAAAACUUAAUUAAACAUGAUAAAACUAUUUACUCAAAAGCAAACGGUGACGAGUUUCAUGAAGUUUAACAAAUAACAAUCCCCGGAUUCAUCCCAAAUUCCCU
rnacentral:lncRNA from 1 species